CAGAUACGCAAUGCUUUGCAAAAACAAAAGCGCAAGAAACACAGUCAGUCGUUUAUGUCUACGAACAAGACCUUUGUGUCAACGAGCUUCACUGAAGACUCGCUUGCUCUGCCAAGAGUUAAUCUGCAACAGCAUGCAGUGCGACGCAGUUUCUCAUCUGGUCAUGACGAGUGAAUAGUAUGUUUUGACCAACACACUGACAGUGACAAGUCAUACAGGACACCACCUUGUUUAGAGAAACGCACGUUGAUCAGUUCAACAAAUGCCAUAAAUAAAGUUAUUAUGUUCAUGUAUUCCAUUGAAUGUGUAGU